rnacentral:rRNA from 1 species
CACGGACCGCACGAACGUUAUUCGGUAUCACUGGGCUUAAAGGGUGCGUAGGCGGCUUUGCAAGUUGGGUGUGAAAGCCCUCGGCUCAACCGAGGAAUUGCGCUCAAUACUGCCGAGCUCGAGAGAGACAGAGGUAAGCGGAACUGAUGGUGGAGCGGUGAAAUGCGUUGAGUAUCAUCAGGAACACCGGUGGCGAAGGCGGCUUACUGGGUCUUUCUGACG